UACGUAGGGUGCGAGCGUUGUCCGGAAUUAUUGGGCGUAAAGGGCUCGUAGGCGGUCUGUCACGUCGGGAGUGAAAACUCAGGGCUUAACCCUGAGCCUGCUUCCGAUACGGGCAGACUAGAGGUAUGCAGGGGAGAACGGAAUUCCUGGUGUAGCGGUGGAAUGCGCAGAUAUCAGGAGGAACACCGAUGGCGAAGGCAGCUCGCUGGGACGGUACUGACGCUGAGGCGCGAAAGCGUGGGGAGCGAACAGG
rnacentral:rRNA from 1 species